GUAGCAAAAUGGCGACUGUCAUUCACAACCCCCUGAAAGCGCUCGGGGACCAGUUCUACAAGGAAGCCAUUGAGCACUGCCGGAGUUACAACUCGCGGCUGUGUGCGGAGCGCAGUGUGCGGCUCCCCUUCUUGGACUCGCAGACUGGGGUGGCCCAGAACAACUGCUACAUAUGGAUGGAGAAGAGGCACCGAGGCCCAGGCCUUGCUCCAGGCCAGCUGUACACAUACCCUGCCCGCUGCUGGCGUAAGAAGAGACGAUUGCACCCGCCUGAGGAUCCAAAGCUGCGGCUGCUGGAAAUAAAGCCUGAAGUGGAGCUGCCCCUGAAGAAGGAUGGGUUCACCUCGGAGAGCACCACACUAGAAGCCUUGCUUCGAGGGGAAGGGGUUGAGAAGAAGGUGGAUGCUAGAGAGGAGGAGAGCAUCCAGGAAAUACAGAGAGUUUUGGAAAAUGAUGAAAAUGUAGAAGAAGGAAAUGAAGAAGAGGAUUUAGAAGAGGAUAUUCCUAAGCGAAAGAACAGGACCAGAGGACGGGCCCGUGGCUCUGCCGGUGGCAGGAGGAGGCAUGACCCCGCCUCUCAGGAAGACCACGACAAACCUUAUGUCUGUGACAUCUGUGGCAAGCGCUACAAGAACCGGCCAGGACUCAGCUACCACUACGCUCACACUCACCUGGCCAGCGAGGAGGGGGAUGAAGCCCAAGACCAGGAGACCCGGUCCCCGCCCAACCACAGAAAUGAGAACCACAGACCCCAGAAAGGACCGGAUGGAACAGUCAUUCCUAAUAACUACUGUGACUUCUGCUUGGGGGGCUCUAACAUGAACAAGAAGAGUGGGCGGCCUGAAGAGCUGGUGUCCUGCGCAGACUGUGGACGCUCUGCUCAUUUGGGAGGAGAAGGCAGUAAGGAGAAGGAGGCAGCGGCCGCAGCACGCACCACGGAGGACUUAUUCGGUUCCACGUCAGAAAGUGACACCUCAACUUUCCACGGCUUUGAUGAGGACGAUUUGGAAGAGCCUCACUCCUGCCGAGGACGCCGCAGUGGCCGGGGCUCACCCACAGCAGAUAAAAAGGGCAGUUGCUAAACCCACGAACAGACUCUCUGGGGCAAUUAGCCAUCACCCUCUGACUUUGGUCAUUGUUCUGGUUCUGAUAUAUUUUUUUAAAAUGAAAGACAACUUUAGGUUUUCUCUUCAUCCUUGCUUUUUCCUCUUACCUUCCACGCACCCCUUCCCCCUUUCCUUCUGUUUUUUGAGUAUGUACAGCAGAAGCACAAACUACUGAAACACAACAGAACAAAAGAGCCAAGGAGUCCUUCAGAGAGGUGGCAUUGUGAUGUACUAUUUAUUUUCCAGAGAAAUGGGAGGUUAGGCGAAUUAUCUCUUUUUUUGGGGGGGAGGGGAUCUUUUUGACAUGAGCAGAGUUGAUUUCCUCAGUUUUCCUAUUUAUUGGCAAAGUGAAGAGAGAAGGAAUAUUGGGGUUUGGAAACAACCAAUUACAUUAAAUAAAUUAUUAUUUAUAUAUGCUGUUAUUAGAAACUGACUUUUUUUUUUGAGAGAGCAUGAAGGGAAAUCAAAGAAAUUGGAGUCAUAUCUGUUUAGCAGAAAGCCACUGGGGGGAGGAUUGGUUCAAGGAGACCCCGUCGGGAGGAUUUCCUCCAUGGGAGAUGGUUGCACUUUCUGUGCCCCCCACCCCCCGGCGUCUGUGGCUCCCCACGGCAGACCCCUCCCCAUGCCUCAUCCCCGACCUUUCCGUCUUCCUCCCUGCUUCCAAGAAAAUGCCAGCAGUUUCUGAGAAGUUUGGGGCUGCUGUGCGUGGCCUCCCUCCAGCGCCUGGGCACCCCCCAGCAGUGCCUCCGGGGCUCCUCCUCUUCAUCAGCACAGCCACUGUUUGGUGGGUGCUGGUUUUUCCUCACUUUCCUCCUGGUGAAGAGCAAUUUCCAAAUGCAGGAACGGAAUCUGAGCAGAAAGUCACGGACUUGGCAGCGAGAAAACAACCCGAGGCUGCACAUGUGGAAGAGAGAAUGACACCUGAAGUGUAUUUCCCUCCCCCCUCGCCCCUGUUUACAAACAUAUAAAUUCCCGUUGGAUGAUCAAGUCUCCCGUAUUUCUUCCAUUUUUUUUAUAGUGCCCCCCAGGCACUUUGUUUUAUGUUUUCCAAUAGCAUCUCCUGAAAUAAACCAAAGCAACACUUGCUCAAGGCCCCUGGGGCGAUGGAGAAGACCAUCCACCUUGUUGGCAGUCCCAAGAAUGAACGGCUCUGCAGUCCUAGUCAAAAGUCAACUCUAUGACCUGGGGACUCCGGCAUCCUUCAAGCAAGCCAUUUCCGAAGAAGGUGAAAAGAAGGCUCGAUGAUUUGCACCUCCUCCUCCUCCUCCUCCUCCUUCUCUUCCUUUUUCCUUGCCCGGCCCCUUCCUGCACGUGUGUUUCAGCCAACAGAGGAGCUUGGAUUGUGGAAAAGCCUCCAGCGCAACUCAGCUCAGAAGAGUCUCGGGAAUGGCCUAAGUUUGUGCA